GGAGGGAUGGCCGAGUGGUUGAAGGCGGCGGUCUUGAAAACCGUUGAGCCAAUGGCUCCGUGGGUUCGAAUCCUACUCCCUCCGCCA
rnacentral:tRNA from 1 species